rnacentral:rRNA from 1 species
GACGAACGCUGGCGGCAGGCCUAACACAUGCAAGUCGAACGAGUGGCGGACGGGUGAGUAAUGUCUGGGAAACUGCCCGAUGGAGGGGGAUAACUACUGGAAACGGUAGCUAAUACCGCAUACCCUCGGAUGUGCCCAGAUGGGAUUAGCUAUUAGGUGGGGUAACGGCUAACCUAGGCGACGGUCCCUAGCUGGUCUGAGAGGAUGACCAGCCACACUGGAACGAGGACACGGUCCAGACUCCUACGGUAGGCGGACGUGGGGAAGAUUGCACAAUGGGCGCAAGCCUGAUGCUGCCAUGCCGCGUAUAUGAGGAAGGCCUUCGGGUUUUAAAGUACUUUCAGCGAGGAGGCGUUACUCGCAGAAGAAGCACCGGCUAACUCCGUGCCAGCCGCCGCGGUAAUUC